UUCCCUUUCUAGAUAUGAUAUCAAGAGCGCAUUGGAAAAACACUUUGCUUCAUGUGGUGACAUCUCCAGGGUUUUUGUUCCGUUUGAGUGUCGAACCGGAGUACCUUUGGGGUUUGUGACUUCUUAAUUAGUUCCUCCAAUAUAUAUUUUUCUUUGACAACUCGAAAGUUACGUGUGAAUAUUUACUUGCUUUUCUUCUUUGGUUUUCAGAUGUGCUUACAUUAAUCUGAUGGACCCAAAGAAGGCGUUAACACUAGAUGGAAGUUACUUGGGACCUUCUAAGCUUGAGGUUGUGAUUUCUGGCACCACACCUAUAGGCUUUUAUAACUUUAAAGGUUGCGGACGUUGUAUACUUAUUCUGAAGAGGCGCAACUUCCGCCGCUUUGUGGAUACUCGUGUUGGUCGUGUAACGCCCUGGUACAACAUUAGUUAAUUUGUUCUUGUUUUAUUGAAUCGAACGUUACUUGUUGUUAAUUUUGUUGUCAUCUUUUUUGCUCUCUUUGAUAUUAUAUUUCAGGACACCCGAGUUAGCCCGUUGGAUGAGUGAAACAAACAAAAUGAUCGAAGCGGAAAACAAGGGCUAAUAAACAUAAUUACAGUUCACACGUCAUAUGUCCCACUUUUUGUGUAAAUCAUGGGAAACUAAAGUCUGUAUUAACUAACGAAACUAAAGACGGUUCAUAAACGCUAAGUCUGUAUUAACUAACGGAACAUAUCCAAUAGAAGCCCAGACCCACAAAAGCAACAUCUGUAUUAAUAUCUUUAGAAAACAUAUCCAAACGAAGCCCAAACCCACACAAGCCCAGCUUAAAGAUUAUAAAAGCCAGCGAUUUACAGAAAACCUAGCAGCCGCUUUUCUCUCGUUACGCCGUUAGGGUUUUGUUUAUCACUUCUCAUGGAGAACGAAAAACAGAAAGAGAACGAGAACUUUAACGAGGUAAUAUCAACUUCUUCUUCUAAUAUGUUUCUUCUUCACUCGCAAAACUUUCUUUACCUUCUACUUAUUCACUUUCGGUUGUUUUUAGGGUGAAGAAACCUCGCAAAAUGGUAAGAAAUUACUUCCAAUCUUUCGUUUUUGUUUUUUGUUGUAUUUGUGUUCCUUUGAAUAAGGUUCUGAUGUGUUACAUUCUUUUUUUCUCUGCUGAGAAAGAUGGUUCGGACCAAGAGGCUACCCUGAAGAACAAAAGGAAUAUCUCUGAUCUUUCGCAAAAACGUAAGUCGCUACAGUCAUUUGAUUUAUGAUGAGAUUUACUUGUUUUGUUGCAUUUCUUUUGUCUGUAUAUUUUGAUUUUUGACGAGUUUUUUUUUUUUCAUUUCUUUCAGCUUAUGAAGAUGAUGCGGAACAAGAGAAGAAGAAAAGGAAGAUCUCUGAUCUUUCGCAAAAACGUAAGUCGCUGCAGUCAUUUGAUUUAUGAUGAGAUUUACCUGUUUUGUUGCAUUUCUUGUGUCUGGUAUCUUUUGAUUUUUGAUGAGUUAUUUUUUUUUUUUUGCAUCUCUUUCAUCUGAUGAAGAUGAUGAAAAAGAAGAUCUCCAAAAGGUAUGAAUUCAAUGUUUUUUUUUGCUCUCGUGGAUUUGAAAACUUCAGUCAAAUCAUUGGAUUUGCUAUAGCCUCAUGCAUCUGUUUUAAAUGUAUAGGAAUCAGUUGACUGGUCCUCAAGUAGUACUGAACAUGAGUUUGAAGGAUUUGUACAUCCAUCUGUCAUUUGCAUUGGACAGAUGGUUAAGCAUAUAACUGAAAAUGAAAUGUAAUUAUCACUAUCUCAGUAAUAUUUUCAUUGUUUGAUUGAUCAUUUUUGUAUGUUGUUUAAUAUUUGUUAUUUUUUGCAGCAAGGAUUUUUUUAUAAACAUUGCUGAAGUAACAUCUGUGAAACUCCAGCCACCAAAGCCUGAUGGUGAGAUGCAGGCUUUGGUUUUCUUUGAAACUGAUGAAGAAGCACAAGCGGCCCUGAGUUUAAACGGAAAAGAUCUCCUUGGAAAAUCGGUCUAUAUUACACGUUGCAGCAAGGGGUAAUUAGAUUUUUUACACUUUUUCUUUUGUAUCUAAUUUUUGGAAUUGUAAUUUACAAGUUUUUUAUUGGCAGGCUCUUGACCCUGUGUGUUACCGGUUUUAAUUCCCAGUUAACUGAGGAUGAUAUUCUUGAAGAAGUUUUUCACCAGUUGUCUGAUCUAGAGCCAAAAUGGGAGGUGGAAGGUCAUGUAUUUCUUCCUAAAUCCGUUGAAACCGAUUCUAAUCUUGGGUAUGUAAUUUUCCAUUAUUUUGAAAUUUGUGACUUUUAUAAUGGUUUUGACAAGGUGUAUCUGUUAUAAUUGCAGACUUUUUUACUUAAUUGUAAAGCCCCCUGAUGACACAGACUGGACUUCUCAUGCUGUUUACGAAUAUUUUAGUGGGAAAAAUAUAACUGUCAGUGAUGCUAUAAUCAACAUUUAUAAAGCUGAUCUAAGGGCAUGGGUCCUUCGGUCUAUAAUGGUACUAAGCAAUCAUUCUUUAUAUAGCUAUGAAAAUUUAAACUAUAUUCAUGUAUAGAUGUUGACUUGUUCUUUUUGCAGGAUGGUGAUAUACCAAAUCUCCAAGGAAAGGUAAUUAUUUUAAAACUCUUCUUUUUUUAAUGUAUACCUUUUUAAAGUUCUCUUUCUUAUCAUGUUUCUGCUAUAUUUAACUAGAUUGCUGCUUUGAGAACUUCAAUUGAAGAAAACAGUCAAAGAAUAUAUGACAAAGAGGUACAAUGUCUCUCUGUAUUUAUUUAUUUGUUUAUGAGAAAUGAAUUACGAUCUGCAAUAAGUUCACUGUUCACUUUCAUUUAUGAGAAUUAUAAUCUGAAAUCAGUUAGCUGUGCAUUUUUGCUUAAUAGAAUGAUAAUACAAAAUUAUCAUCUGCAUAUAGAUAAGUCACUGUUUGCUUUUGUUUAUAAGAAAGAUAAUUCUCUGUUCACUUUCAUUUGUGAGAAUGGUAACAUCAUCACUCUAGUUUGUUUGAAUGAGAAUUUUAAAUAUGUUGGCUGUUCAUCUUUGUGGAAAGAGAAAUAUAAACUGCAAUAUGUUAACUGUUUGCUAUGGUCUGUGUGAAUUAUAAUAUGAAAAUUGCACCCUGUUCCUUUUUGUUAACUGUUUGCUAUGGUCCUUUUUGUUUAUGUUAACUGUUUGCUAUGGUCUGUGUGAAUUAUAAUAUGAAAAUUGCACCCUGUUCCUUUUUGUUUAUAAUACGAAUUAUUAUCAACAGUCAGUUCACUGUUCACUUUCUUUAAUGAUAAGAAAAAAUUAUAAUCUGGGUAUAGUUCACUGUUUGCUUUGGUUUAUGUUCUCUGUUCACUUCCGUGGAAAGAGAAAACUGCAAUAUGUUAACUGUUCGCUAUCAUCUAUGAGAAUUAUAAUAUGAAAGUUAUAUCCUGUUUCUUUUUGUUUCUGAGGAUACGAAUUAUUAACAGCAAUCAGUUCAUUGUAUUUUUUUUUAAUAAUCAGGAGCCAUUUUCUUGGAGGGAGAUCCAUCCAGAAUUUUUUUCUGACUAUAUUCAGUUAGCAGGUAAGGACAAAACUUAUAUAUUAUAAUGUGUUGUAAAUUUUUUAUCAACACAACUGAUUCAUGUUCUUUUAUGAUUAGAUGAGUGUUGGGCAGUAAUACUAUACAGAGGAUAUUUCGCAGCGUUUUUUAUGGAAAAUUCUAGAAGCUGUGAACUUGAUGUUUGCACAAUCAUCAAAGGAGUAGACGCUAGGUAUAAACUCUCUGGAGGUGGGAUUGUCAGCAUGGAUCAUGCAAAACCUUUUAUGUUGGAGCACGCAAGAGAUCUAAAAUUCCAUCACCGGCCGAAAAAGAAUCAUGAUGAAAGAGAUUUUGAAGCGUUUGAGAAACGAAUCAUAGGACUGGCCAGGAGAGUUCCAGUUGGCACUAUGUUAGACUUUCUUCCAAGUAUGGAAGAAUGGGAUGGCAAUGUAAGUAAAUGCAUUUGUAUAUCUUCAUAUCUGUAUUUGUUUAAUUCAGUUUUUGUUUUAAGCUGACUACAUAACUUUGGUUUCAGAGUAUAUUUGUUCCUACGGAGAUUGAUUUAAUCCGAAAGUUUUUGGAGAAAUUACCUUACCACGGCUAUUUCGUAUCUGGUAUUGAUUCGGAAAACGGAAUUGAUUUUUGGAAAGGACAAGAUUCCGGUGGAAGAGAUUUUGGGGAUCAAGGUUUUGUAAGGAUUGCCCGUCACUAUCGUCUGAUAAAACAGGUUUUUGAGUUCACGGUAAUGAAGUUAAUAUGUCCAUUUCGUUUAUGUGAAUGAAUUUUUGUGAAAUAGUAUAUGAGUUUAUGGUAAUUUUCUGUGCUUUUGUAUUUGUUUCAGGUCUGAUAGGGUACACGUUGGAACAACUUUUUUGUGUACAUAACGCGGAAGUUGAAGUAAUUAGUUUUUAAUCGGUCACUAUUGUUGAUUUUUUUAUCAACUGCAACUUCGGAUUAUAUAAUCAUGUUUUUAACAACGGGAACUUACAUAUCCUAUCUUUUUUAUUGUCAGAGCUCUUCUAUUAAUAUUUGUAUUGGAUUCGGUUUGGCAUUGUUGGAUAUUAUUUGGGCCGGUUGUAGUGUUUUUAAGUUCGAUCUUCUUUGUUCAACGUAAUAUUGGUAUUGGAUUUGGUUCGGCAUUGUUUUAAGUUUGAUCUUCCUUGUUCAACGUUGGCCCGAUAUUCUCUUUCUUAUUUGUUCGUAGACAAAUUGCAGUUGUUUUUACUUUAUUGACCGACUUAUUUGGUAGCAAAAACUUUGAUCAAAUAGUUAGUAAAUAUGUACUUUUAUUAUUCGUACUCGUGUGUCAAAACUCUAAUCUCCCAUGCGUAUGAAAAUAAUUCGACUUGUAUUUUUGUUAUAUACUCGUGAAUACAAAUGUUAGGAAAAUUUCCACAUUUAGUAAACGAUCACUGAGCUGAUAUUUUAUCUUCGAAUAGUUUUAUUUUUUACAGUGAAUUUGCAUUUUUGUCUUUACAAUUCAAUGUUUCUGCGUAAAUUAUGAAAAUCAAUUACGUAAUCCAUGGAAGAUGAAAUCGGCAUAAAGAAUUAUGGCAAAUCAUUUAGCGUACGCUGGGUGGUGUAAAUAACAUUGAACCAAAUAAGUGGUAAGAUCACAAAAGGUUUUGUGAAUUUUAAACACGAUGCGACGCACCACUUUACUCUACGUGUUAUACUCAUGGAGAAUUUUUAAAAUAUGUUUUUUGCUUCAGUUAAGUCAUAUGCUUGUUCUAAUGUUCUCUUUUCUUUUCUCUUUUCUGGACAAGGGACUACGGAUGUUAUCAUGGACUUGUCCGGUUUGUUUAUGUUCGUCCAUUUACGUUCGUGUUCAUUUAUGUAUGUUUAAGUUUGUAAUAUGUUUAUGUCCGACCAUUUAAAACAUGCUGGACAAUAAUGUCUAUGUACGUAUGUUGAUUUUUUAACAAUCUUUGUGUAUUUCGUAUUUUAAAUCUAGUAGGUAAAUACCCACAUUAUGUUGCGGAAAUAGUAUUAUAUUUUUCUUAAUUUAUUUUAAUAUAAAAAUUUAAUGUUUUUAUUUUUUAUAAAUAAUUAUGGAUAUGUUUUUAAGAGAAUUACUAGGGAUGGAAAACGCAAAUCUUCAAAUAAGAAAAUGGAAUUAGUCUAAUUGAUAAUUUGUGUGCUAAUAAUGCCGAUAGAAAAGAAGAAAACCAGCGUGUAAUGUGUGAGCGUGUAUGAACGGUCGAUUUUUGCCCUUAAGACUGUAUUAAACUGACGAAACAUAUCCAAUAGAAGCCCAGACCCACAAAAGCAACAUCUGUAUUAAUAUCUUUAGAAAACAUAUCCAAACGAAGCCCAAACCCACACAAGCCCAGCUUAAAGAUUAUAAAAGCCAGCGAUUUACAGAAAACCUGGCAGCCGCUUUUCUCUCGUUACGCCGUUAGGGUUUUGUUUGUCACCUCUAAUGGAGAACGAAAGACAGAAAGAGAACGAGGUAAUCUCUACUUCUCAUCUCUCCAUGAGCAAGCGGCUUAAGAAAUGCUCUGCAUCCACCGAUGUAAUAAUUUUCUGCUCCUUAUUGCCUCGUUCCUUACUCCAGUCUCUGACUAAUUUUGUUCUGUAGUAAAGAUUUUUUCUCAUUUUAACCGGAGUUUAAUCUUGUUUUUGAAUUUUUUUUAGGUUAGGGAUACAACGGAGCCUUCGCAGAAUGGUAAGAAAUUAUAUAAUAUUUUUUAUUUUUUUUUAUGCAUGUGAUUAUUGAAGAAAACCGGAAUUUUGAAUUAGAUAUAUGAGUUCUCUGUUUAUGGCAUGGGUCUAAUUCUUAUGUAGAAGAAACAGACAUACAAUAAUUUAUCUCUUUUAUAUUUGAAUGAGAAUUAUAAUGUUCUUUUUGUUCAGUUGCUGGGAAAGAGUUGAAUGAUGAUUCAGAAGUAAUACUGAAGAAGCAAAAAAAGGUAAUGAUCUGUGGAACCGAGAGAAUUCACACCUUACUCGCUAGGAUAAUGAAAUCCUGCUACUGAAAAUCUCACUCUUGCUGCCUUUCUUCCGAAAGAAUUUUUUGAAGCUACAGAAACAUUUUUGCAUACAAAAACGCAUUUGCAUGAUAGUUUGUUGAAGGGGAACCUAGAAACUUUACACUUGGUAUUUGUCAUUUAAUUGACCAUCCAUGCAUGAUUGAUCUUUGUGUAGCUAUAUUUGCUUUUUUUAUCCCCCGAUCCUUUUACAAAUUCCAAAAAGAUCUCCUUAGUUGCUUUGUUUAUGGAAAUAAAAACCUUCUUCUUCUCUAAGCAGUCCAGUACUUUUAGAGCUCAUCAUGUUGUUUAGUCUGCUUUAACUUGACGUGCUUCUCUUUAAAAUUAAGAAGAAUUCCAUCAUCUUUAAACCUCACUGACUAUACUUUUCACUUUGUGCUCAAUAAUUUUCAUUCAUUGACCUGAUUGACGUUGAACCAUAUAUUUUGUGCAGGAAAGUGGUCAUGAAAAUGAAAAAACUGCAUUGAAAAAGGUACUUAAGCUACAUCUUCAUUACUUUUUUAAUGAAAAUGUUCUUUUACUAUUAGUUUAUUCAAUAGAGCUUCUUUAUUUUUGUCAACCUCCUAUACUACUGAUCAAUUGACUCAAGGCAUUAUAUUUUUGAAAAAGGUGGAAGAACAUGAUUGCAUUUACGGCAAUGAAGAAGAGGCUUUUGGAAACAAUCAGCGUACCAUAUACGUUAAGGGAUUAGAUUGUUCCCUUUCUAGAUAUGAUAUCAAGAGCGCAUUGGAAAAACACUUUGCUUCAUGUGGUGACAUCUCCAGGGUUUUUGUUCCGUUUGAGUGUCGAACCGGAGUACCUUUGGGGUUUGUGACUUCUUAAUUAGUUCCUCCAAUAUAUAUUUUUAUUUUCUUUGACAACUUAAAAGCUAAGUGCAAACGUACGUGUGAAUAUUAUCUUGCUUUCUUCUUUGGUUUUCAGAUGUGCUUUCAUUAAUCUGAUGGACCCAAAGAAGGCGUUAGAACUAGAUGGAAGUUACUUGGGACCUUCUAAGCUUGAGGUUGUGAUUUCUGGCACCACACCUAUAGGCUUUUAUAACUUUAAAGGUUGCGGACGUUGUAUACUUAUUCUGAAGAGGCGCAACUUCCGCCGCUUUGUGGAUGCUCGUGUUGGUCGUAUAAUACCCUGGUACAACAUUAGUUAAUUUGUUCUUGUUUUAUUGAAUCGAACGUUACUUGUUAUUAAUUUUGUUGUCAUCUUUUUUGCUCUCUUUGAUAUUAUAUUUCAGGA
rnacentral:lncRNA from 1 species